UGCUGUAUAUGUUGGCUUCAGUAGGUUCAGAUUCACUGUUUGGAGUAGGAUUCACCUAGAUGGAAUCUAUCGAUCUUAGUAGAAAAGGAGAGUCCUAUGCGAUCUGCGAGACUGAGUUCAGAAAGUCUUUGGUCAAAGCAAGUGUGAAUACCGAAAAGGAGAUUCUAUGGGAUUCACAAAUAAACUCAAGUCGAGCUAUCCUUACAUAUGACUAAUGAUGGGGUCUG
rnacentral:lncRNA from 1 species